UACAGAGGGGGCAAGCGUUGUUCGGAAUUACUGGGCGUAAAGGGCUCGUAGGUGGCCAACUAAGUCAGACGUGAAAUCCCCAGGCUCAACUUGGGAACUGCGUCUGAUACUGGAUGGCUUGAAUUCGGGAGAGGGAUGCAGAAUUCCAGGUGUAGCGGUGAAAUGCGUAGAUAUCUGGAGGAAUACCGGUGGCGAAGGCGGCAUCCUGGACCGAUAUUGACACUGAUGAGCGAAAGCUAGGGGAGCAAACGGG
rnacentral:rRNA from 1 species